UUGAACCAGGGGAUGUGGUGAUAACAGUUUAGCAGAUACAACAUUGCAUCUGCUGCUGACACCACACUGCCUGGGAAGAGUAAGAGUGAUUCAUUCAGAAAGACAAACAGCAGCAGCAGCAGCCCGCCCCUGGUCCUCUCGCCACAGAGGCUCCUGACUCAUACAGAGAACUGUGGGUAGAAACGAGUGAUGACCAUUGGUGUGACUGCACAAAUGAACAAGAUGAUUGCAACUGACCACACCGCCACAGCGGGGUCUUCCUUGUGAUUAUAAACCUGCAAAAGUGGACACCUCAUGACUGGGGCUCUUGUUGAUGUGCAAGUACCUGUUAUUGAUAGCAGAGGAGGGGGAAAAGAAGACUGCAAAUCCAGAAUCCAAUUGCACAAGGGUACUUUUGGUUACAUGUAUGCAUGUGGAGUCUUGUCUGGUGUCAAACGAAAGGAUGAGAAAAAGGAAAGAUCACAACCACGGACAUCUUGAGGAAGAUGCUGGAAGCACACAAAUGUACAGGAAGCGGCCAUCCUUAAUCUUUGGGACUCAAAUGCUGGGUGACUGAUUCCUUGGACCAGCUGACAGACAGACAGACAGAUGCUACCAUAAGAUCCCAGAAGCAUGUGCUGUCAUGUCUAACACAUAGCAGAAGCCAUGGGACUCUGUGAAGAGGAUCAUUCAACAAUCCCCUGUGGUAGGGAGUCGCCCUGUCAUUGCCUGGCCAGGUCUCAGACAAACACAUUAUGGUGCUGGGGACCUGUCCACAGAGAGAAAAUGAUGCAUUGAAACACACGUGGGACGUGCCCUCAAGAAGUCUUAGUGCUGAACUUGAAGUUUAACAAAUCUAGUUUUAGUUUAGCAAAUUCCCAAGAGAAGAGUCCUGGCUAGUUUUGUGACAGCUUGACACAAGCAAGACUCAUUUAGGAAAACAGAACUUCAGUUAAGAAAAUGUUCUGAACAGGCUGGCCUGUGGUCAAGAUUAUAGAACAUUUUCUCGAUUGAUAAUGGAUGUGGGAGGGCCCAUUUUACCAAGUGUGAUUCUACCCCUGGGCUAGUAGUCCUAGGAGCUAUAAGAAAGCAGGCUGAGGAAGCCCUGCAGAACAAUCCAGUAAGCAGCAUCCCUCCAUGGCUUCUUUAUCAGCCCCUGCCUCCAUGUUCCUGCUCUACUUGAGUUCAUGCCCUGAUAUUUCUCAGUGAUGUACCAUGUUGUGAAAGAGUAAGCUGGAAUAAAUCUAACACUUUCCUCCCCAAGUUUCUCUUUAUCAUGGUGUUUUAUGGUAGCCAUAGAAACUCUGAAACAAAAGUGGCACGAUAAUGGGCGGAGACUAAAAG